UUUUUUAGUAAACAUUUUUUUUCCCUUUUCAAAAGUCCUGGAUCCACCCAAAGAUAUAUAUAGGAAGGGAAGGAUUGGCAACGGUGUCAGAGGAAUGAAUGACUCCCCGGUGGGAGUGACCCCCCGGUCAUUCCUGCCUAAGGUGUGGGUGACUCCCCCAGGAGUGGAUGACUCCCCUAUGCGCAUGUUUGUUCCCGCCAAUGUGACCUGUUUCCAUCGAUGUAACUUCGGUAUAUAGUAGCAGGAGUACAUGCAUUCAUGCACUCCAAUGCAUGCACUCCUCAUAGUAGAGAGUGAAGAGCCAUGCAAGAUGAAGAAGAGCAAGGUUAGUAGUAGCAAGGUAGCAAUGAAGCAAGUGUUCAUCCUGUAGUAGACAGCAAGUGACAGCUGGAAUGUAGACCUAUACAUAAUAGUUAUAGGUUGAGUCCAAGGUCUCUAUGGGGUUUUGAGACCCGAAGGCCCGAGGCUGUAGCAUCUCGAGCGUAGCGAGGGUGCUACUAAGGGCCUAAGGGUUGGUUGAAAAUGGUAGCCUCUAUAUAACAAGAAGCACACCAAAGCUGCUGAUGCAGCUGACUGGAGGAUACGUGUGCGCAGCGAUGAGGAGAAAUCAAGAAUCCUCGAAGAUUGCCAUGCCAGACGCUUCCUCCUCUCACGUCCCCUCUUCUCACAAGCCAGAUGCCCCCUCCUCUCACAAGCCAGACGCCCUCUCCUCUCACAAGCCAGAUGCUCCCUCCUCUCGCAAGCGAGACGCCCCCUUCUCUCGUUAAGCUGCAUCCUCUAUGGAGCCACCUUUGAAGAAGCAAAGGACUACUCAGUCUGUAACAAGAAAGAAUUCAAGCUACUGGGUGAAGGAUUUGGACCUGAGGACGGGAGACAAGGAUGUAAUUCUUGCUGAGAGCGGGAUGCUUUCUGACCGUCAUAUAUAUGUAUGCUGCCCACAAACUGAUGAGAAUGCAAUUUCCAAAUAUUGAAGGCUGCUACUCUACUCUUCUGGCUCAGAAGAUGUCCUUUCAUGCAGUCACUAGUAGUGAAGCCACAGAUAUUCUUUGUAACAGAGAGGCAUCACUGGAUUGCGACAGCACUCAUCAAGGGGGUAUAUACUUUUCCUCUUUGAUAGCUGCUUCCAAUAUGGGAAAGAACUGGAGCCAGGUGCUGAGCUGCAAAUCGCACAAAUGUAUAAGCCUUUAAUAGCCCGCACAAUGGGCUGUUACUGUCUGUGGCCUCCAUUCAACAGCAGAGCAGUGGCAGUAACAACUGUGGUUUGUUUGCAAUUGCCGCUGCAUACCACGCAUUGCAAGGAGACAAUCUGGAUACCAUCACCCUAAAUGAAGACAAAAUGAGGCCACACCUUGUGCGUUGCUUUGAAAAUAAGAAACUCAGAAACUCAGAAGAUUUCCAAAGUCAAAAGAUGUUAGUGGCCGCAAGAGACCAGAAAGAUUUUCCAGCAUAGUAAUUACGAUAUAUACUGCCCUUGUCUCCGCCCUGACUGUUAUGAUGAAAUGGUCCAGUGCGAUACGUGUAAUGUGUGGUAUCAUUAUAAAUGUGUUCGUAUUGAUUAAAGUAUCUCCACUUGGAGAUUGGUUUUGUCCUAUAUAGUUGUAGAUCUAAAUAGAAUUUUUUAGCAUUUCGUUAUCUUCCACUAGCUGUUUUUGUUUGUACACUGUAAUAAUUAUUAAUUUGCACUGUUGUUUUGUUUGUUUUUCAUGCACUGUAUAGAUCUAGUUAUUGUGAUGGAUGUUGUUGUAUUAUAAGUUUUGCUUUACAGUGACGACCGUGAGACAUGUGAA